GACGACGGCUGGGCGGCGUGCUUAAAACAUGCAAGUCGAACGGACUUCUCAUGAAGCUUGCGAUUGAGAAGUUAGUGGCGGACGGGCGAGUAACGCGUGGGCAACCUGCCCCUGAGCCCGGGAUAACAGUUCGAAAGGACUGCUAAGACCGGAUAUACUUGCGGGGAAGCAUUUCACUGCAAGGAAAGGGAACGCUCAGGGAUGGGCCCGCGUCCCAUUAGCUAGUUGGUGAGGUAACGGCCCACCAAGGCGACGAUGGGUAGCCGGCCUGAGAGGGUGAACGGCCACACUGGGACUGAGACACGGCCCAGACUCCUACGGGAGGCAGCAGUUGGGAAUCUUCGGCAAUGGGCGCAAGCCUGACCGAGCAACGCCGCGUGAGUGAUGAAGGUUUUCGGAUUGUAAAGCUCUGUCUUCCGGGACGAUAAUGACGGUACCGGAGGAGGAAGCCACGGCUAACUACGUG
rnacentral:rRNA from 1 species